UGCAAGUCGAGCGGUAACAGGGGUAGCUUGCUACCCGCUGACGAGCGGCGGACGGGUGAGUAAUGCAUAGGAAUCUGCCCGAUAGUGGGGGAUAACCUGGGGAAACCCAGGCUAAUACCGCAUACGUCCUACGGGAGAAAGGGGGCUCCGGCUCCCGCUAUUGGAUGAGCCUAUGUCGGAUUAGCUAGUUGGUGAGGUAAUGGCUCACCAAGGCAACGAUCCGUAGCUGGUCUGAGAGGAUGAUCAGCCACAUCGGGACUGAGACACGGCCCGAACUCCUACGGGAGGCAGCAGUGGGGAAUAUUGGACAAUGGGCGAAAGCCUGAUCCAGCCAUGCCGCGUGUGUGAAGAAGGCCCUCGGGUUGUAAAGCACUUUCAGCGAGGAAGAACGCCUAGUGGUUAAUACCCAUUAGGAAAGACAUCACUCGCAGAAGAAGCACCGGCUAACUCCGUGCCAGCAGCCGCGGUAAUACGGAGGGUGCAAGCGUUAAUCGGAAUUACUGGGCGUAAAGCGCGCGUAGGUGGCUUGAUAAGCCGGUUGUGAAAGCCCCGGGCUCAACCUGGGAACGGCAUCCGGAACUGUCAAGCUAGAGUGCAGGAGAGGAAGGUAGAAUUCCCGGUGUAGCGGUGAAAUGCGUAGAGAUCGGGAGGAAUACCAGUGGCGAAGGCGGCCUUCUGGACUGACACUGACACUGAGGUGCGAAAGCGUGGGUAGCAAACAGGAUUAGAUACCCUGGUAGUCCACGCCGUAAACGAUGUCGACCAGCCGUUGGGUGCCUAGCGCACUUUGUGGCGAAGUUAACGCGAUAAGUCGACCGCCUGGGGAGUACGGCCGCAAGGUUAAAACUCAAAUGAAUUGACGGGGGCCCGCACAAGCGGUGGAGCAUGUGGUUUAAUUCGAUGCAACGCGAAGAACCUUACCUACUCUUGACAUCCUGCGAACUUGUGAGAGAUCACUUGGUGCCUUCGGGAACGCAGAGACAGGUGCUGCAUGGCUGUCGUCAGCUCGUGUUGUGAAAUGUUGGGUUAAGUCCCGUAACGAGCGCAACCCUUGUCCUUAUUUGCCAGCGGGUAAUGCCGGGAACUCUAAGGAAACUGCCGGUGACAAACCGGAGGAAGGUGGGGACGACGUCAAGUAUCAUGGCCCUU
rnacentral:rRNA from 1 species